CUCUUCAUGUGCAGCCCUACAUACAGCUGUGAAACAGACCUCUAUUUAACCAGAUAGAAAUCAUUUGAGAGGAAGGAAAACAAUGGAAAAGAUUUUUUUUGUGAUUUUUUCAUAAAUCAUAAAAUAACAAAAUAUAAUAAUGUGGAUGCACAGAUAUUUGCAAAAAGAUAAAUAAGCAACCUAGAAAAUGGUAUAAAGAAAAAUGAGUUCAACGUCUUUAUAUUCCACCGAGGUCUGCAAUAGUUUCUGCUUCAGAAUUAUAAUCAAAUGGUAGCAAUGUUAGCAAUAGCCCUAACCUUACCAUGUAUUGUGAGUGUAAACAUAUGAUCCAACAGGGUGUAGCUUACAUUUUAUUUUUCUCUAAGUGUUCCCUCAAUCAAUGAAAAGGAUCAACAAUGAUGCAACCUAAAACCACUCUGGUAGGUUUAUUUUCCUUACUUAUCCUCCCUUACCACUCCUCCUCUUCCUCCUCCUUUUCCUUAAAUUAGACUCAUCUCCACCUUUAAAUUCACUAAACUUUUGUCUGUCAGGGACACUUUGCACAGUUUUCCUUUCCAAUUUUGUAUUUUUAAUUUUUCAUGAUGUCCUGCACAAUUACUAAUUUCUUUAUCCUCCUUUUUGUCACAGCUCAUGUCAUCACUGCAGCUGAAGGUGAGUAAGAGCAGCUGGUCCUUUGUUUGUUCUUUGAGAUCUUUUAGAGUAUAUUUUAGUGUAUUUUUACUUUUGGACAUAUGUCUUUGAAGCCAGUUGUUUUGUUUGCUCAUAGCUGAGACUUUCCUUAUUGAUGUUGCAGAACUUGAUGGUUCAGCUAUCGACACCUGUAUGAUUUUUCCUGUUCCUGAUUUGACCACUGUCACCAAUACUAAGGAUGCAAUAAUCACGCCUGUCACAACAAUGCAGGUGGUGACCACCACAACCUCAAACCUAGAACGCAUUAAACAACCACCACUUGUAACAAGACCAAUCACAAAUCAUCAGUCUGAUCUUCUCCGCAUUCUGUUGGAAAACAUCAGACAUCAUGUCAAUUCUCAACCCAGACUCACAGGUUUCAUCUCUCACCAGCAUAAAAAAACCUCAGAUAGCUCUGAGUCAGCUGCACAGCAAGGCUCACUUUCUUCAGAUUCAAGCGAUGAGUCUUAGUAUCAAAACUCUUAAGAAUUUGGAAUGUUUUUGUAUUUGUAGUAUUGAUGUCAAAGAUGUAAUUAAUGUACCUGUAACAAGUAUCGACAAUAUGUUUUGCAGUAAAACUAUUCUGUUGCCCUUGGAUUUUUUUAUUUUUUUAUUUAAGGUUUAUGAGUGGGAAC
rnacentral:lncRNA from 1 species